rnacentral:lncRNA from 1 species
GAAGGCAGAAUGAGCAAAGGCUGUCGCUUGCAUCCCAGCAGCACUGGGAGAAGGCACUGAGAGCUGCUGCUGCUCUUCUUGGGCUGAGAGACACAGCUGAACCCUGGGAGAGAUGUGGGAGUACAGAGAUGGGGCUGACAUAGGAUUAGGAGAAAAGCAGGAAAAAAUGUCAGUGCUAGAGAUGAGGAUUCAGGGAACAGCUGAAUUGCAGGCUGUAGCCCAUUGGCAUCUUCCGUCUGGCAAUGUGGACUGGAAUAUCCUUGGGAGCAAAGUCAGCAGAGGUUUUUCUUCAGCUGGGUUGCAGUGCAGUUGUAGCUCACCUGAGCAGGCCAGCAAAGGUAAUACGUGACAUUUCUGCCUUGUGUGUGUUUGGGAUGGUGUUCUGCCACAAUACCUGCUUGCUUAUACUUUUUUCUUUGUGAUGUAGUUCAUGGAUGAUAGAUGAGAUACCAGAUGAGGACAGGAACCUUUCUGACUCCGGUUGAGGGACAGGCAAGCACCUGCUUCAGCGGUUCCUUUGCUGCUUCUGUCCUCCUUGGCAAAAGGCUGGCACCUCUAGAGGUGGCUGAGGAGGUGGAAAGGUCUUGGGGAACCCGUCUGUCCUCUCAUUACAGCGAGAAUAAACAUUAACUUAGACUAGACA